GUGGGGAAUCUCAGACAAUGGGGGAAACCCUGAUCUAGCCAUGCCGCGUGAGCGAUGAAGGCCUUAGGGUUGUAAAGCUCUUUCAGCUGGGAAGAUAAUGACGGUACCAGCAGAAGAAGCCCCGGCUAACUCCGUGCCAGCAGCCGCGGUAAUACGGAGGGGGCUAGCGUUGUUCGGAAUUACUGGGCGUAAAGCGCGCGUAGGCGGACCAGAAAGUCAGAGGUGAAAUCCCAGGGCUCAACCUUGGAACUGCCUUUGAAACUCCUGGUCUUGAGGUCGAGAGAGGUGAGUGGAAUUCCGAGUGUAGAGGUGAAAUUCGUAGAUAUUCGGAGGAACACCAGUGGCGAAGGCGGCUCACUGGCUCGAUACUGACGCUGAGGUGCGAAAGCGUGGGGAGCAAACAGGAUUAGAUACCCGAGUAGUCC
rnacentral:rRNA from 1 species